rnacentral:rRNA from 1 species
AGAGUUUGAUCAUGGCUCAGAACGAACACUGGCGGCAGGCUUAACACAUGCAAGUCGAACGCGUGUAGCAAUACACGAGUGGCGCACGGGUGAGUAACGCGUGGAUAUCUGCCUUUUGGUUCGGAAUAACCUUGGGAAACCGAGGCUAAUACCGGAUGGUUCCUACGGGAUAAAGAUUUAUCGCCAAAAGAUGAGUCCGCGUCCGAUUAGCUAGUUGGUGAGGUAACGGCUCACCAAGGCGACGAUCGGUAGCUGGUCUGAGAGGACGAUCAGCCACACUGGGACUGAGACACGGCCCAGACUCCUACGGGAGGCAGCAGUGGGGAAUAUUGGACAAUGGGGGCAACCCUGAUCCAGCCAUGCCGCGUGAGUGAUGAAGGCCUUCGGGUUGUAAAGCUCUUUUGGCGGGGACGAUGAUGACGGUACCCGCAGAAUAAGCCCCGGCUAACUUCGUGCCAGCAGCCGCGGUAAGACGAAGGGGGCUAGCGUUGUUCGGAAUUACUGGGCGUAAAGCGCGUGUAGGCGGUUGUCCAAGUUGGAUGUGAAAGCCUUGAGCUUAACUCAAGAAAUGCAUUCAGGACUGGAUGACUAGAGGACCGGAGAGGAUAGUGGAAUUCCCAGUGUAGUGGUGAAAUACGCAGAGAUUGGGAAGAACACCAGUGGCGAAGGCGGCUAUCUGGACGGUUUCUGACGCUAAGACGCGAAAGCGUGGGGAGCAAACAGGAUUAGAUACCCUAGUAGUCC